UGUUUGUAUUUUAUUUAUCGCUGCAAAAGUGUUCUGCAAACGCGUCAGUUUGACGCUUUGAAUUGACUCUGGCUUCGAUAACCAAACAAUAUUUAAUCGAUAUAUCGAUAGGCGUUUCCCGCAAUACUUUUAAGUGUUGAAAAACACGUGUGAGCGUCAGCUGCCGAACUAACGGAUUUUAAAAGUGCAGUUACCAUGUGAACCAGGCGUUGUUUUAUUUUAAAGUGAAAAGUGCAAAAUGACAUCCUCCAGCGCUGUGGAAGACGAACGGCUAACCGACUCGGAUUUAUCCGAUGAUGAGGAGCACAAGGUGGAGGUACAGCCGGAGGAGAUUCGUCCGCCAACGCCGCGUCCAACAUAUACGGAUGAGGAUCUCAAUCAAUUACUUGAGGCUAUACAGCGCAUGACCACGCUCUACUCGCUGAAUCAACAGGAUUGGCAUGAGGAAUCGCUGGAUAAUAUACGCCGUUGGCUGCUCGAGGUCAAUGAACCCCUGCUGACCAUUUUCUAUGCCGAGAAUACACUCACCGCUUAUCUGGGUUUUCCCACCCAGCCAGUGGAUGACAUAAGCUAUUUUUUUCGCGGCGAGCCCAACGAGAUAUUCACUGUCGAUGGCUUCCACGACGAGAUUCACUUUGGCACCAUACACAGCGAUGUCGAUGGCUGUUGGAUGCGGCUGCUCGAGCGCUUUUAUGCGCCCAUCUUUCGCAACUACAAAGAUUGGAACCAGACGGUGCGCGCCCGCUUCUGCGCCAGCCUCGACAAUCUGUUGGCCUUUCUGUUCGCCAUGAACUCCAAGAUUGGCGGCAUAACGGCCCUCUAUGUGCCAUUUGUGCUGCAUCAGAUUGGCGGCGAUCAAAUCGUCUGUGACAGGCCGCUUUUCAAGAGCCUGGAAAGCAUUGCCGUCUACUGGACCACCCAGAUACGCACCGUGCUAGGCGAUCGCACUUUGAUGGCGGCCAACGAGUUGGCCACAAUGAACGAUGAGUACGAGUUCUGGCUGUAUCGCUUGGAGGUGCUGCAGGGCUUGAAUUCGCAGCUGGAACAGUUCGAUGUGAAGCGCAUCUUCAAGGUGUUGCGCCAGUGGAAAUCAGUGCACAUGCCCCAAGUCGAGGAGCUGCUGGAGGCCGCCAAGCUGGAGCAGGACUUGGCCAUGUCGAAUAUAAAAUAUCUGCAUUUGCUUGUGGAGCCUUGCGCCAAAAUUGAUGAGUGCGCGUCGCCGGCGACCGUGUCGCAAUUGUUGCCGCAUAUCAUUCACCUGCUGCGCUUCAUUUGGGUGAACUCGGAGCACUACCGGAGCCCAGAUCGGAUCACCAUACUCUUUCGGAAUCUAAGCAAUCAGAUCAUAAAGUACUGCACGGCGCAGAUAGAUCUCGAUAAUAUACUGGCCGGUCAGCCUCGCUUGGGCAUCAAGCUGUGCGAUCUGUCACUGGACUGUUGCCUGGCCUACAAGGAGCACACGUGCCGGCUGCGGGAGAACUGCGACUGGCAACUGGACCUGGGCAUCAUAUUCAAUCAUGUGCAUGCGUUCAUGGAGCGUCUCGGCGAUCUGAAGGACAUAUGCGAGGCGAUGAUUGUAUUUGGACGCCUCGACGAGCAGGAGACCCAAACGCAGACCCAAUUCGGCGGCACCAGCGGCGAGGAGCUGGAGAAGAUUGCGGUCAGCGUGCAGCAACAAUUUCUCGAGACGCUGCAACAAUUGCGCAGCUGCAAGACGCAACAGCUCAUGUUGAAUGUGCAUCGCGGCGAAUGGUACCACCAGAUGGCCAGCUAUAGGCGGGGGGUGCAGCGCCUGGAGGAGACGCAGCAGCGUCUUAUUGCGAACGUGUUCCAGCGCGUGUGCAACGUGGAGGAGGCACUGGAGGCGCUCAACGUGCUGCUCUACUUCUCGUACCAUGCCACGCUGCGCAAAUGCUAUCUCCGCCAGGUGGGCCACGUGUGGCAGUUGUUCGGUGAGGACAUGGACGAGACAACGCGCCAGCUGCUGCAGCUGCGUCGCCAGCAGCACGAGUCCUGGCUGCCGCGCCACGUCUCCCACGCCCUGGCCUCUCGCAUCAAUCUGGAGCGCUUGACCUGGCUGCGCAGUCGCCUCGUCGCAAGCAGCGCCGCGUGGCUGCCGCCUGUGCCAGAGGCGAGUGCCGUGCUCGCCAAGUUCGAGCUGCUGCGCACGGAGUUCGAGCGGCAGAUGCGUCUUUCCUACGAGAAUUGGCAGCAGUUGUAUGCCGAUUGCGGGCCCAAUCUUUGCCAAAAACUGGAGCGUUAUCUGCUGUUGCGCAGCAGGCAGCCGCAGGCCUUGCUCCAAUGCAACAUGGACGCGAGCGCUUUGCACAUCUGCCUGGAGGCCGAGCACUUUGAGCGACUGGCGUUUGCGGUUCCUCUGGCCAUGCGCAGGCUAUACGAGCGCCACGAGACGCUGCGCCUGGUGUGCUACAGCGUACUGCAUUUGUGCCUGGACUACAAUCGCCUGCUCAACUCGUUGACGGCGCGGGAGCGCAAGCUGUUUCGCCCCCUGGUCCAGGCCCUCGAUCGCCAGCUGGCGCCGGGCAUCUACAAGCUAACCUAUGGCGCCAUCGUGGAGCCGAGCGACGGUUACGCCCAGUGGCUGGCGGACUGUGUGCAGCAGCUGGAGCAGCUGCGACAGAUUAUCCAGAUCUACAAGCGCGCCAAUCGACAGAUUGUCAGAAUUUGCGAGCGCAUCUGCGACACGUCCAUGCUGCGCCUGAACUUUGUUGGCGCCGUGGAGAUCUCCGCCUUCGAGCAGCAGCUCAGCAGCUGCCUGAGUUGCGGCAACAGUGCGUUGCGCAAGUACUACAACACCAUUGUCGAGCUUUUGCUGGCCGUGUCCCUAGAGUUCGACGAUGUUAAGGACGAGAUGGCGAGCGAGUGGCAUCGAUAUGUGAAUGUCAUGGACGAUAUGCUGGCCAGCUCUUUUGUCAGCUGCGCGCGCAGCUCCCUGGAAUUGCUGCUGGCUGCGCUGCACUGCGAUGAGGACAUGGCGCCUGCGCCCAUUUUGGUUGUGGAAUCGGACGUCAGGGACUCUCGCAUUGUGCUUACGCCCGACAUGCUGACAAUUGGCACUGUGCUGCGCGGCACAGUUGAUCGUGUCCAGAGCCUGGUCGAUCAAUUUCCACGGCUGGGCUACAAGUUGAAGCUGCCGAAGGCGCAGCGACGUCCGAAUUUUGCCAGAGCGUUUCGCGAGGAUGCCGAAUGCUCGGAGCUGGUGCGCCGCAUUGAGGCUGAGAUUGCCCGGCAGCAGGAGCAGAUGGACUUGUAUGUGAGCCAUUGGCAGCAGCAUCAUGCGCUCUGGGAGCUGACGGAGGAGGCAUUCACCCAGCGAGUGCUGGCCAGCGCAAAGACUGCGGGCGUCUUCGAGGGCGGCAUCGAGCACUACAGCUCGCUGGCCGAUGACAUUACUUUCGUAGAUGCCAUUGCCCAUGUCCACUUUGUGCUCAUCAAUCAGAAUCCUAUCAAGAGCACCCUCCUGGACUGGAUCGAGAAGUGGCAGGCACUGAACAUUAAGAUUCUGCUGGAUCAUGCAACGGCACUAAUUCAAUAUUUUCAAAAGUUUUGGAAAAUAAUAAUUAAAUUGAACCGUGAACCGGAAUUAAUUUGCAUUAGAUAAAAGGUUUUCAAAAGUUUUGGAAAGAUAUUGAAUGUGAAAACCGGAAUCGGAGCACCUUGUGCCAUGCAUUUUAUGAGAUUUGUAUUACUUCUGGUUGCAUGAACUGCCGACUAUGGACGAUGCUUGUGUUUGUUGUGCAUUUAGUUCUGGUUUGCUGGACUGAAGGACAGCAGCUGCCAACGGGGCGUGGCUUAGCCGAAGCCUAGCUGGCGCGGACAGCGUCCAAUUGUUGUGUUGAAGAGGCCGUAGUUGCAGACGGGCGGACUGCACGCGUUGCUGCGGAUGCAUCUAAAGUGGAGGCAGGAUUAGGCUUUGGUUACUUUGCUUGGCUGGAAAGUAAUUCGCUGGGACUAACCUGAGCUCGGAGACGGCGAAUCCCUCGUCGCCGUUCUUCAUGCGCUGGCAGGUCGUGUGGCUCAGGUGGCAGUCGCAGCGGCAGCUGCUUGGGGCGCCGCCCUGUUGGACGCCAAAGUUGAUGAAGUGCUUGGGACACUGGCACUGGGAACUGCGCUUGCGCCGCUGGGCGGCCCGACUGAUGCAAUGGCAUUCGGUGUGGUUAGUCAGCGAUAUUAUCCUCGGAUGGGAGUUCGGAAUGCCCACCGAGCGCACCCAGAAGACCUUCUCGACAAUCGUCGUGUUCUUGGCCGUCCACACCGUCUUGGUGGGGCAGCAGCUGCUGUUCUCAUCGCAACGAUGCAGCACCGCGACAUGCGGCCGAUAUGUCUUCGACGUUUCGAAGUCCAUCCUGAUGACGCGCGGCUGCGGCAAUUUGCAGAGCGGUUCGUUCGCGAUGCUUUCCAAAUUCUUGUUAGCCAAAUGUCCUGCAAAAAGGACCAAAUGGGAACAGUGCUUAAUUAAUGGAAGAAAUGGGAUUUAAAAGGACUCUCGAUCUGAGCUCCUGUUCGCGGCUUAAUUAAAUUAAGUCCAGUUGCCACCAUUAUUUGAUAUCCCCACAUCCUUAUUGAUGACCAACACAGCGUUUGUAUCUAUAUCUACUUGGAGGCAUACGGAAUUCAGUUGCAGUCGCAUUUUAUGGCCGACUAAUGACUUUAUGUGGGCGUUGCAUGCAACAUGCCACGGUCACGGUUAACUGCCGCAAUUUGCGAGGGACUUCACCUACAACAAAUGGCGGGAGCAACAGCAACGAAAGGGACAACAACAACAACAUUUAAUGUAAGCAACGUUCGGGCAAUAAAGGUGCAAAGCUGCUGCUGAUCAAUAAAAAAGUUACAACAAACAAAAAAGAAAGGAGUUGCGUGCACCGAAUAGUAAAUACCCUGACGCUGAAACAAAUCAAGGCAAGGAAGCAGAACAGACAACUAAAGGAUUCCGGCUCGAAUCCCAGGUGA